UACGUAGGGUGCAGGCGUUAAUCGGAAUUACUGGGCGUAAAGCGUGCGCAGGCGGCUCCUUAAGUCCGACGUGAAAUCCCCAGGCUUAACCUGGGAACUGCGUCGGAUACUGGCAGGCUUGAAUCCGGGAGAGGGAUGUGGAAUUCCAGGUGUAGCGGUGAAAUGCGUAGAUAUCUGGAGGAACACCGGUGGCGAAGGCGGCAUCCUGGACCGGUAUUGACGCUGAGGCGCGAAAGCUAGGGGAGCAAACGGG
rnacentral:rRNA from 1 species